GUCUCUUGAAACAGUAGAAAACGCGCUGAAUGACAGCGCUAUUAAUUUGUCAUUACGUCGAUGCAGCCAGCGCGUUAUCUAAUGCUUUAAAUCUCAAUUUCUUGCUCAGCUGAGUGAGCUGUGAGAAAUCGACUCACGCGGAUCGGAAGUUGAUGCGGCUGUUGCAAUCGCUGAUGUCGUGAUCGGCGGCCUUGUGCAAAGUAUCGCAUGGCUCGUUGACGAACUUAAAAGUCGGCGUGAUUCGAAAUAGAUUAUCGCCACAAUUUAUACUGACAACUAAAUUGAACCGAAGAUUGAUUACGCUAUAACUUGUUGUAUUAAUAAAAUAAACAAGCGAGUGAUUGCACGUGUAUCAAACUGGAACUGAUUCAAACUCUAGUUGUGGACAGUUAGCGCCAUCUAGGCCCGAAAAUGGGAACUGUUUGACAGUUUCACUGUGGGAGUACGUCGUUUGGACGCGAGCCAAUUCGCCGUUGGAAACAUUUCAGAUUUUAGAAUGUUUUAACGCUAAAAUAAACAAAUUUUGUAUAAUAUUAAACUAUUUUAUAUGAAUUUAAUAUUAAACUGA